AUUUUGACCUGGCAGAGUUUCACCGGACUUUUGCUUCUCUUGAACUCUUUCAUCAAUCCUUUUCUGUUUGUAUGGAGGUAUACGGAAUGCAGAUAUACCUUUUUAAUGAUUAUUUGUUACUGCAACAAGUCCAAAAGAGAGAAGUACGGGAAAUUAAAGAAACAUUUCUUUGAGCCAUAUUUGGAUGGGACGACCACGACUGGAGUGUUAAAAUUCAACAAUCCAACAGCGAAUGAAGCAACACCAGUAUAGAUGGGGAUUUUCAAUAUGUGAUCAAAUGAUCUACACAGAGUUCAUUGGAAGACAUUGAUCUGUGUAAUGGAAGAUGAAACCAAAAUGACACCAAAGGCGUCUUUGUCCUUGAAUGUCC